rnacentral:rRNA from 1 species
GUGCGAAAGCGUGGGGAGCAAACAGGAUUAGAUACCCUGGUAGUCCACGCUGUAAACGAUGUCGAUUUGGAGGUUGUGGCCUUGAGCCGUGGCUUCCGGAGCUAACGCGUUAAAUCGACCGCCUGGGGAGUACGGCCGCAAGGUUAAAACUCAAAUGAAUUGACGGGGGCCCGCACAAGCGGUGGAGCAUGUGGUUUAAUUCGAUGCAACGCGAAGAACCUUACCUACUCUUGACAUCCACGGAACUUGCCAGAGAUGGCUUGGUGCCUUCGGGAACCGUGAGACAGGUGCUGCAUGGCUGUCGUCAGCUCGUGUUGUGAAAUGUUGGGUUAAGUCCCGCAACGAGCGCAACCCUUAUCCUUUGUUGCCAGCGGUUCGGCCGGGAACUCAAAGGAGACUGCCAGUGAUAAACUGGAGGAAGGUGGGGAUGACGUCAAGUCAUCAUGGCCCUUACGAGUAGGGCUACACACGUGCUACAAUGGCAUAUACAAAGAGAAGCGAUCUCGCGAGAGCAAGCGGACCUCAUAAAGUAUGUCGUAGUCCGGAUUGGAGUCUGCAACUCGACUCCAUGAAGUCGGAAUCGCUAGUAAUCGUAGAUCAGAAUGCUACGGUGAAUACGUUCCCGGGCCUUGUACACACCGCCCGUCACACCAUGGGAGUGGGUUGCAAAAGAAGUAGGUAGCUUAACCUUCGGGAGGGCGCUUACCACUUUGUGAUUCAUGACUGGGGUGAAGUCGUAACAAGGUAACCGUAGGGGAACCUGCGGUUGGAUCACCUCCUUACC